rnacentral:rRNA from 1 species
UACAGAGGUCCCGAGCGUUGUUCGGAUUCACUGGGCGUAAAGGGUGCGUAGGUGGUGUGGUAAGUCGGAUGUGAAAUCUCCGGGCUCAACCCGGAAAUGGCAUUGGAAACUACCUUGCUGGAGGAUUUGAGGGGGGAUUGGAAUACUUGGUGUAGCAGUGAAAUGCGUAGAUAUCAAGUGGAACACCAGUGGCGAAGGCGAAUCCCUGGAAAAUACCUGACACUGAGGCACGAAAGCUAGGGGAGCAAACAGG